rnacentral:rRNA from 1 species
GACGAACGCUGGCGGCGUGCUUAACACAUGCAAGUCGAACGAUGAACCCGGAGCUUGCUCCGGUGGAUUAGUGGCGAACGGGUGAGUAACACGUGAGUAACCUGCCCUUGACUCUGGGAUAACUGCGGGAAACUGUAGCUAAUACCGGAUACGACCUUCGGCGGCAUCGCCAGGGGGUGGAAAGAAUUUCGGUCAAGGAUGGACUCGCGGCCUAUCAGCUAGUUGGUGAGGUAACGGCUCACCAAGGCGACGACGGGUAGCCGGCCUGAGAGGGGGACCGGCCACACGGGGACUGAGAAAGGGCCCAGACGCUGCGGGGGGGCAGCAGUGGGGAAUAUUGCAAAAGGGGCGAAGGCCUGAUGCAGCAACGCCGCGGGAGGGAUGACGGCCUUGGGGUUGAAAGCCUCUUUUAGUAGGGAAGAGGCGAAAGUGACGGUACCUGCAGAAAAAGCACCGGCUAACUACGUGCCAGCCGCCGCGGUAA